CAGCCGCCCGGGAAUACAGAGGGUGCGAGCGUUAAUCGGAUUUACUGGGCGUAAAGCGUGCGUAGGCGGCUUCUUAAGUCGGAUGUGAAAUCCCUGAGCUUAACUUAGGAAUUGCAUUCGAUACUGGGAAGCUAGAGUAUGGGAGAGGAUGGUAGAAUUCCAGGUGUAGCGGUGAAAUGCGUAGAGAUCUGGAGGAAUACCGAUGGCGAAGGCAGCCAUCUGGCCUAAUACUGACGCUGAGGUACGAAAGCAUGGGGAGCAAACAGGAUUAGAUACCCGAGUAGUCCCUGUCUCUUAUACA
rnacentral:rRNA from 1 species